UACAGAGGUCUCAAGCGUUGUUCGGAUUCAUUGGGCGUAAAGGGUGCGUAGGUGGCGCCGUAAGUCAGGUGUGAAAUUUCGGAGCUUAACUCCGAAACUGCAUUUGAUACUGCGGUGCUUGAGGACUGGAGAGGAGACUGGAAUUUACGGUGUAGCAGUGAAAUGCGUAGAGAUCGUAAGGAAGACCAGUGGCGAAGGCGGGUCUCUGGACAGUUCCUGACACUGAGGCAACGGAAGGCCAGGGGAGCAAACGGG
rnacentral:rRNA from 1 species